rnacentral:rRNA from 1 species
GAACGCUGGCGGCGUGCUUAACACAUGCAAGUCGAACGGAAAGGCCCUGCUUUUGUGGGGUGCUCGAGUGGCGAACGGGUGAGUAACACGUGAGUAACCUGCCCUUGACUUUGGGAUAACUUCAGGAAACUGGGGCUAAUACCGGAUAGGAGCUCCUGCUGCAUGGUGGGGGUUGGAAAGUUUCGGCGGUUGGGGAUGGACUCGCGGCUUAUCAGCUUGUUGGUGGGGUAGUGGCUUACCAAGGCUUUGACGGGUAGCCGGCCUGAGAGGGUGACCGGCGACAUUGGGACUGAGAUACGGCCCAGACUCCUACGGGAGGCAGCAGUGGGGAAUAUUGCACAAUGGGCGGAAGCCUGAUGCAGCAACGCCGCGUGCGGGAUGACGGCCUUCGGGUUGUAAACCGCUUUCGCCUGUGACGAAGCGUGAGUGACGGUAAUGGGUAAAGAAGCACCGGCUAACUACGUG